GAAGCAGAAGGGAGAGAGCGAGUGUUCCCACCGUAAGGCGAUCCAGCACAUACAGUAUGGAGAUUGUGUCGGUCGGGGUGGUGGUCUGUGGACAGCAAAAGGGGUGUCAACAUUUAAUCCAUCUGUGAUUUCCUGCAGAAGAAGAGCAAUGCCAUUGCAUCACUGACUCAAACUCAAAGAUUUGAAGCUCAACCAGGAAAGCAAGUGAAGCUGCUGUGAAAUUAAAAUCACCAGUAAUGCACAUUACUGCCACCUACAGGACUGGAGUGGAGUUGUAUUUUCCAGCGCUUCUUCAAAGGAGUCAUGUUACGGAUUGCUCAGCCUUGGAUAUUCCCCCCCCCCCCCCCCCCAUUGGCAUAAAGAAUCACAUUUUCAUAGCCCAAUAGGCUUCAGCAUUCAUCACUGGGAGGUCAAGCAGAUAGACAGGUGAGAGGUCGUGACUCGUGUAGAAAAGGUUGGAGAUGAAAGAGUUAAAUGUCAAGGCGUAUGUAUCCUGUCUGACUUUGAUCUCUGCCUCAGGUAGCUCCUUCCUGCCCAUCAAUCUUGGGCCCCGAGCUGACGGGAGGCUGCGGCUUUCUCAAAACGGGCUUGCUCAGACUCAAACCGUCGCCUCGCCGAGAGGGCUGGCGUGAUGUGCCAUUCAUUGGCGUCAUGUUUUCAGUGUGACGCUUCGAGAGAAAACGGUGACGUCAAAACAAAAAACGAAAUCCCCGGCCCAUCUUGUCCUCGCUCAUCUCGCCCUCCAGUGACAAACUCUUUAAUAUGACAAGGUUAAACACCUUGAAGCUGCAGCUAAAGGCGCACGUCCAGGUCAGGGGUCAAAAGAGCAAUUUAAAUAGCAGGCAGCUUGUUUAUGUUGUUGUGUCAUCUUGUUUACGUUAUUGCGUCAUCUUGUUUCAUUCAAUGCAAAGCACAUUCGACUAAAUUGGUGAGUACUGCUUUGAAAUGUCUUCCUUGCAAAUAUCUUAGAAGAAGAAAAAAAAAAAAACGCGUUCAAGACACAUAAGCCAUCGUGUAAUAUCAGCUCGCCGUGUUUCUCUAUGAAAGUUAUUUGAUCGGACGUGAAGUUGAAUCUGGCUUUGUGUCACAUUGUACGUUACAACGGAACUUAACACUUGACAGAAACGAGCCUUGUUGUCAGCGGCUGAACUUGAUCCCCCCCCUCAACUUGUUCCCAUCCAAGAGGGAAAGACAGAGAGGUGACUUCGGCAAGAUUGAGCGUAUUUAUUAGUAUUAUAUAUUUUACAAAAGAUAUUUCCUCACCCCUGCUCGGCAUGAAGUCAAAACAUUGAGUGAUUUUUCAUUUGUGCGAUCCCUCUACUUGUUUUGACAUUUCCCAACCUCCCGUUUAAAGUGGACCGUUGUUGUUCCUCACAACCGUCACUUGUCCAGAAGGCCAGACAGACGCCCCCUUCCUCCUCCACUUGUCAUCCUCGUCACCUCUGGCAUUUCAAACUGACGCUGGCUUUCGGACC